UUUUCACUAAGUUCUGCGAUACAACCAACAAGACAAGAUAUUUUAUCAUGUUUUAGCCAUUUGCGAGUUGCACAAAUUUUGGCACCUUUUUGACCUUCAAGACUAUACCUAAAGCAUGGUUCUAUUGCAAAUCCAGAAUCUUUAUCAAAAACCUUUAAAUACCUGUAAAUGUUUUUCCAAAUUUAUUUGUUGUUGUUUAGAUUUUGUGUGAGGUAGUCUUGCACCCCAAUCACCACCCAUUAAUUUUUUAUAUGUUUUUUCAUAAUUUUGGGUUUGAAUAAAUUCACAGAUAAUUUUACGGAGUUCAUCUUUAUUUGCUUUUAAUGGCC
rnacentral:misc_RNA from 1 species